GGAAUAUUGGACAAUGGGCGGAAGCCUGAUCCAGCCAUGCCGCGUGAAGGAAGACUGCGCUCAGCGUUGUAAACUUCUUUUGGAUGGGAAUAAUAUUGUCGACGCGUUCGGCACUUGAAGGUACCAUCAGAAUAAGCACCGGCUAACUCCGUGCCAGCAGCCGCGGUAAUACGGAGGGUGCAAGCGUUAUCCGGAAUCACUGGGUUUAAAGGGUGCGUAGGCUGUUCGGUAAGUCAGUUGUGAAAUUCCCCGGCUUAACCGGUGGGACUGCGAUUGAUACUGUCGGACUUGAAUCAGGUUGAGGUAGGCGGAAUGUGGCAUGUAGCGGCGAAAUGCAUAGAUAUGCCAUAGAACACCGAUUGCGAAGGCAGCUUGCUGGACCUAGAUUGACGCUGAGGCACGAAAGCGUGGGGAGCAAA
rnacentral:rRNA from 1 species